rnacentral:rRNA from 1 species
AGAGUUUGAUUAUGGCUCAGGAUGAACGCUGGCGGCGUGCCUAACACAUGCAAGUCGAGCGAUCUCUUCGGAGAGAGCGGCGGACGGGUGAGUAACGCGUGGGUAACCUGCCCUGUACACACGGAUAACAUACCGAAAGGUAUACUAAUACGGGAUAACAUAUGAAAGUCGCAUGGCUUUUAUAUCAAAGCUCCGGCGGUACAGGAUGGACCCGCGUCUGAUUAGCUAGUUGGUAAGGUAAUGGCUUACCAAGGCAACGAUCAGUAGCCGACCUGAGAGGGUGAUCGGCCACACUGGAACUGAGACACGGUCCAGACUCCUACGGGAGGCAGCAGUGGGGAAUAUUGCACAAUGGGCGAAAGCCUGAUGCAGCAACGCCGCGUGAGCGAUGAAGGCCUUCGGGUCGUAAAGCUCUGUCCUCAAGGAAGAUAAUGACGGUACUUGAGGAGGAAGCCCCGGCUAACUACGUGCCAGCAGCCGCGGUAAUACGUAGGGGGCUAGCGUUAUCCGGAAUUACUGGGCGUAAAGGGUGCGUAGGUGGUUUUUUAAGUCAGAAGUGAAAGGCUACGGCUCAACCGUAGUAAGCUUUUGAAACUAGAGAACUUGAGUGCAGGAGAGGAGAGUAGAAUUCCUAGUGUAGCGGUGAAAUGCGUAGAUAUUAGGAGGAAUACUAGUAGCGAAGGUGGCUCUCUGGACUGUAACUGACACUGAGGCACGAAAGCGUGGGGAGCAAACAGGAUUAGAUACCCUGGUAGUCCACGCCGUAAACGAUGAGUACUAGGUGUCGGGGGUUACUCCUCUCGGUGCUGCAGCUAACGCAUUAAGUACUCUCGCCUGGGAAGUACGCUCGCAAGAGUGGAACUCAAAUGAAUUGACGGGGA